rnacentral:rRNA from 1 species
AUGGGAGAGCGCUCCCGAGGAGGAUGCAGAUCGGCGGCCGGAGGGAGAGCCCUCCACGACGAGGACGCGGAUCGGCGGGCGGAGGGAGAGGCCGCCCCGAUGAGGAUGCCGAUUGGUGGCCGGAUGGACAGCUCUUCCCGGCGAGCCGUAAGACUGCCCCAAAAACUCACGUUCCUGCCAAAAUCCAUACUGCGGUUCAAGAUUCGCGGCCGCAGGUCGUGCGACUGCGGCUCAAAUUUUCCGAUUGGCGGCAAGAACUCCACUGUGCGCCAUCCGGCGAUGCACACAUCCACGUUGACGCCGCCGUGUACUGUUGAACCAAGCGAGAUGAUGACUCCAGAUCCCAGCACAAGAUACAUACAUGGUAACCAAGUCCGUGAAGAUUUUGUCCCAAAGGAAAAUAUGGCUUUCGUCACCGAUGAGGAAGGGUAUGAAUUUUAUCAAAAAUAUGCAAGAUUAGCAGGUUUUGGUAUUACCAAGCUCAAGCGGAAGCCGAUGUCGCGUCUGUAUGCAUGCUCCCGGGGAGGUGCCAGUACAUUUUACAAGCCUGGGGAGGAACGCAAACGUGCGAAAAUGUCCAAGAAGGUUAACUGUGGGGCAGCUGUUAAAAUCAAGAAAAGGGGGAAAGAAUGGAUAUAUGAGAAAGUGAUGUUGGAGCACAAUCAUACUCUGAAUCCUAAUCCAUCUGAAUUGAAGCACAUGUAUUCACAUAAGAACAAAGAUCCUCUUAUCAUGGAGGUUGUUGAUGAUCUGCAGACCUGUGACGUCUCUCCUAAUACAACAAUGAAUGUGUUGACCCAUUUUCAUGGCAACUAUGAGGUCAUGCCAAUGAAUGAUCAUGACUUGCGAAAUAGAAGAGCAGCCAAUGUACUUAAGAAGCGAGCUGAUGAUGUAAAAAAACUUAGGGCCUUCUUCAAUGAGUUCAAAGCAUAUAACAGUAAAUUCUAUUAUGAUAUAGAGGAUGACUCUGAGGGUGUUACGAAGAAUAUAUUCUAG